ensembl:snoRNA
UGCAAGUGAUGUCUUUUCUCAUGAUGGUCUAUGGAUGCCACUGUGGGCAGUGCCAAUUAUGCCAAAGGUUCAGCAGAUACCAGAGG